UACGUAGGGGGCUAGCGUUGUCCGGAAUCAUUGGGCGUAAAGCGCGUGUAGGCGGUUCGGUAAGUCCGCUGUGAAAGUCGGGGGCUCAACCCUCGAAUGCCGGUGGAUACUGUCGGACUAGAGUACGGAAGAGGCGAGUGGAAUUCCUGGUGUAGCGGUGAAAUGCGCAGAUAUCAGGAGGAACACCAAUUGCGAAGGCAGCUCGCUGGGACGUUACUGACGCUGAGACGCGAAAAGCGUGGGGAGCAAACAGG
rnacentral:rRNA from 1 species